rnacentral:rRNA from 1 species
GAUGAACGCUAGCUACAGGCUUAACACUAUGCAAGUCGAGGGGCAGCACAGUGUAGCAAUGCAUGGGGUGGCGACCGGCGCACGGGUGCGUAACGCGUAUCCAACCUUCCCGUUACUCUUGGAUAGCCUUCCGAAAGGGAGAUUAAUACAAGAUGGUAUUCAAAUUCCGCAUGUUAUUUGAAUUAAAGAUUUAUCGGUAACGGAUGGGGAUGCGUGACAUUAGAUAGUAGGCGGGGUAACGGCCCACCUAGUCUACGAUGUCUAGGGGUUCUGAGAGGAAGGUCCCCCACACUGGAACUGAGACACGGUCCAGACUCCUACGGGAGGCAGCAGUGAGGAAUAUUGGUCAAUGGUCGGAAGACUGAACCAGCCAAGUAGCGUGAAGGAUGAAGGUUCUAUGGAUUGUAAACUUCUUUUAUACGGGAAUAAAACACCUUACGUGUAGGGUCUUGUAUGUACCGUAUGAAUAAGCAUCGGCUAACUCCGUG